rnacentral:rRNA from 1 species
UCGAACGGCAGCGCGUCCUUCGGGAUGGCGGCGAGUGGCGAACGGGUGAGUAAUACAUCGGAACGUGCCCGAUCGUGGGGGAUAACGAAGCGAAAGCUUUGCUAAUACCGCAUACGAUCUGCGGAUGAAAGCGGGGGAUCGCAAGACCUCGCGCGGACGGAGCGGCCGAUGGCAGAUUAGGUAGUUGGUGGGAUAAAAGCUUACCAAGCCGACGAUCUGUAGCUGGUCUGAGAGGAUGAUCAGCCACACUGGGACUGAGACACGGCCCAGACUCCCACGGGAGGCAGCAGUGGGGAAUUUUGGACAAUGGGCGCAAGCCUGAUCCAGCCAUGCCGCGUGCAGGAUGAAGGCCUUCGGGUUGUAAACUGCUUUUGUACGGAACGAAAAGGUUCUGGUUAAUACCUAGGGCCCAUGACGGUACCGUAAGAAUAAGCGCCGGCUAACUACGUGCCAGCAGCCGCGGUAAUACGUAGGGUGCAAGCGUUAAUCGGAAUUACUGGGCGUAAAGCGUGCGCAGGCGGUGAUGUAAGACAGAGGUGAAAUCCCCGGGCUCAACCUGGGAACUGCCUUUGUGACUGCAUCGCUGGAGUACGGCAGAGGGGGAUGGAAUUCCGCGUGUAGCAGUGAAAUGCGUAGAUAUGCGGAGGAACACCGAUGGCGAAGGCAAUCCCCUGGGCCUGUACUGACGCUCAUGCACGAAAGCGUGGGGAGCAAACAGGAUUAGAUACCCUGGUAGUCCACGCCCUAAACGAUGUCAACUGGUUGUUGGGGAUUAAUUUCUUCAGUAACGAAGCUAACGCGUGAAGUUGACCGCCUGGGGAGUACGGCCGC